rnacentral:rRNA from 1 species
GGUAACAGAUAAGAUGAUCUCUUCGGAGUGAAUCUUUGCUGACGAGUGGCGGACGGGUGAGUAAUGCUUGGGAAUCUGCCCAAUAGUGGGGGAAAACUCGGGGAAACCCGGGCUAAUACCGCAUAAUCUCUACGGAGGAAAGAGGGCCUCUACAUGUAAGCUCUCGCUAAUGGAUGAGCCCAAGUCAGAUUAGCUUGUUGGUAAGGUAAUGGCUUACCAAGGCUACGAUCUGUAGCUGGUCUGAGAGGACGACCAGCCACACUGGGACUGAGACACGGCCCAGACUCCUACGGGAGGCAGCAGUGGGGAAUAUUGCACAAUGGGCGCAAGCCUGAUGCAGCAAUGCCGCGUGUGUGAAGAAGGCUCUAGGGUUGUAAAGCACUUUCAAUAGAGAAGAAAAGCUUGAAAUUAAUACUUUCAAGCCUUGACGUAACCUAUACAAGAAGCACCGGCUAAUUCCGUGCCAGCAGCCGCGGUAAUACGGGAGGUGCGAGCGUUAAUCGGAAUUACUGGGCGUAAAGCGAGCGUAGGCUGUUAAUUAAGUCGAAUGUGAAAUCCCCGGGCUCAACCUGGGAACUGCAUCCGAAACUAUUUAACUAGAGUAUGGGAGAGGAAAGUAGAAUUUCCGGUGUAGCGGUGAAAUGCGUAGAUAUCGGAAGGAAUACCAGUGGCGAAGGCGGCUUUCUGGAACAAUACUGACGCUGAGGUUCGAAAGCGUGGGGAGCAAACAGGAUUAGAUACCCUGGUAGUCCACGCCGUAAACGAUGAGAACUAGAUGUUGGGAGGAUUGGCCCUCUCAGUGUCGCAGCUAACGCAAUAAGUUCUCCGCCUGGGGAGUAC